AAAUUGAAGAGUUUGAUCAUGGCUCAGAUUGAACGCUGGCGGCAGGCCUAACACAUGCAAGUCGAACGGUAGCACAGAGAGCUUGCUCUCGGGUGACGAGUGGCGGACGGGUGAGUAAUGUCUGGGAAACUGCCUGAUGGAGGGGGAUAACUACUGGAAACGGUGGCUAAUACCGCAUAACGUCGCAAGACCAAAGAGGGGGACCUUCGGGCCUCUUGCCAUCAGAUGUGCCCAGAUGGGAUUAGCUGGUUGGUGAGGUAACGGCUCACCAAGGCGACGAUCCCUAGCUGGUCUGAGAGGAUGACCAGCCACAC
rnacentral:rRNA from 1 species